AUUUAACGACUGAUGUUGGCUGUUUUCGAUAUUAGCAAAAUUAAAGUAAUUUGCGUCCAUUAUAACUGUAUUCAGAACACAAUGGCAAGUUUCUUGCCUGGAUAAUUGUUAUUGGUCAAAUCGGGGUCGAAUCACGUUUUCCCGAAAAUACUUCGUCUAUCUUCGGUAAGAGUCGGAUUGUUCGUGCAAGACAACCACGAGGUUUACGAUCCAUUCGGACAAACCAUGCGAUGUGCAAUCUUGAGAGGACGAUCGUCUGCCUUUUUACCGGGUGAAGUGUUGACAAUUUAUACAUGUAGCUGGAGAUGAAACGUGUUGGCAGUUGUUGAUGACUUCAGGUCAAUCCGAAUUAGAGAAUCUGGCUGAGCAAAGAGAUGUGCUUCAGUAAUAAAGAGUUGACAAGAAAGCUGUUAGCAAAAAGAGUUUCCAUUACUCUAUGCAGUCCCUACUCUUGUGACAUGUAGUCAAGAUGCUUUUGCUGACUUUUCUGUUCUCCUCAGAGGUGAGGGUAUUGGCAGAACAUUUUGUUUAGAAUAGAAUCUGUUUGUAAAUUACAUUCAGGUGUGUCUUGAUGCGUUAAUUUUCUCUAUGUUAAUUUUCUGUCUUGCAUUGGUAAAAUGGAGGUGCUUGGUGCAAAUGAUGACCCCCAGAAUAGGGACAUAAGAAAGUCACUCAGUGACUUGGUUAGAAAACCUGGGUUGUUUGUCUGAUGUGUCAAGUCACUUCUCACAACAAGUUGCAAGGGAUUCAGUUGAUCAUCUUUGUUACAGAACUACUAAUGAUGCUUCUCAAUUGAAUUGUUUUUUUAAAAAAAACCAAGAAUGGAGUUAAGAGGAUUGAGAACUCUCCAACUGUGGUAAGUAUUAAUUAAUAAUUUCCAAUGAUUGAACCGUAAAAUUCUGCUUAAAGAAGCCCUGGGCUUACACAUCUUUAUGAGGGUUUUUGUGCGGCAUGUAAACAGUAUCGUUUUGACAUAAAUGCAGCUGAUGCACUAGAUCCCAAAUCCAAAAGUGCAAACCCCCCUUUUCUCUAUUUCACUGUUCUUGUGGAGUGGAGGACAUGUCUAUUGCACCCCUUCCCCCUCAAAAUGGCCACCCCUUGACAAUACCAGUUAAGCCUGUCCCAAGCAGCAGCUGGGGAGGGAAGGUUGAGCUAUGUGUGUUUGUGGUGCUCCAGUAUUCUCUUUACAAGAAUUGACCAUAGAGUUUGUUAAUGUAUGGUGCAAGUGAUGACUCCAGAAUAGGGACAUAAGAAAGUCAUUUUGUGACUUGAUUAGAAAUCCUGGUUUUUGGUCUGAAGCACUGAAGCCAUUUCUACAUAUGGUCAAGGAAUUCAAGUUGGGCAUUUUGGUGGCUUUUACUAUUUUUGCAUUUUUACAGCAACUACACAUCAACACGGAAAGCAGCACUCAUCCAGUCGCCCACUCACCCAGGCAAGUUUCAAGGGUGCAAAUACAUUUGCAUGUAACCCUGUUUGUUUACCAACUGUUAAUCAGGUACAUGAAGCGAUCUAAAGCAACAACUUCACAAGUCAAACUUGAACGUGAUGAAUUGUAAAAAUUGAAACUUGAAGGAGCUGAACAGUAAUAAAAAAUUAUGCUCAAUA
rnacentral:lncRNA from 1 species